rnacentral:lncRNA from 1 species
UUAUUUGGUAUUUUCCCGUUUGUAUAUAUAAAUAAGAUCGUUGGUUUUCCAGUUCGAAUUGUGAUUGCUCUAUGGUCGGGUUGUUGUCGCUUUGACACAUUCCCCAUUUCCUUUCUCAAUUUUACUUAUAAUUUUGUGUCCCUUAUAGCUUGCUGUUUGGUCUGGGUCAAUGCCCUGUGUUAACAGGGCUCAUAUGGGAUCAUUUUACUGUUGUAGAAAAGAAAUACCAAGGAUUUGUAUUGUGCUUCUAUACAAAUCAAUUGAAAAACUUCAAUUUUAUUACUUAAAAAGAGGAGAAAUACAUCAUAUUUUAAACAACUAGAGGGGUCCACUUGUUUUAAAUAAUAUUAAAUAAAAUGU